rnacentral:rRNA from 1 species
AAACUUUCAACAACGGAUCUCUUGGCUCUGGCAUCGAUGAAGAACGCAGCGAAAUGCGAUAAGUAAUGAGAAUUGCAGAAUUUAGUGAAUCAUAGAAUCUUUGAACGCACAUUGCGCCCCUUGGUAUUCCGAGGGGCAUGCCUGUUCGAGCGUCAAAACAACCCCUCAAGUCGUUCUGGCUUGGUCUUGGGGUCCGCCCGGGACAGCGUGGCGGCCCUUAAAUCUA